rnacentral:rRNA from 1 species
AUAUAUUAAAGUCAAAUGUUAUUCUUCAUAUUAAUUUUUUUGAAUGUUUUUAAAUUUUAUAAUAGUUGAUUGUAUUUAAAUAUUUAAAUCAAAUUUUAGGAAUAGUUAAUAUUAAUUUAUAAUUUUGAUUAGAUUAUUUUGUUUAUGCUAUAAAAGAGGUGUGGAAAAAGUGAAAAAUAAAAAAAAUAAAAAAUAAAAAAUAAACUUAACCUAUCUGUCAGAAAUGGAUGCCAGCCGUUGCGGUAAUUUCUAUGCUUUUAAAUAUUAUACAGUUAUUUUAUUGUUUUGUUAAUUACUAUUUUCAUCAAAAAAAAUUUAUAAUACUUUAUUUGUUUUUAAACACCUUUUUGGUAUAUGCAAAUAGAAAAUUACAGUAAUUAUUAAUUAAAUUAUAUUAUAUUUAUUCACAUAAUUAUAAAUUUAGAAUUAUUAUAUUUUGACACCAUGAUAAGGACAAUGAAUGGAAUUGUAAAUUUUAUAAUCAAAAUUAAUUAAUUAUAUUAAUUUAGUAAAUUUAGAUAAAAAAAUAAAUUCAAAAGGUAUUGUUGCCCACCAAUUUUUAUAAUAAAAAUAACGUGCAGUAAUUAAUAUAUUUAUAAAGAUAUAUUUUUUCAUAUU